UGUCUCUCAAAAAGCAAUCUCGGAUCAGAUCAUUUAUUCAGCCCACAAAGUGGUACCGCAAACUGAGCAGACCACAAACUGCGAUGAAGGCUGGGAACAAGUAGCUGCAGAGAAGAUGGGCCAGGAAAUUUUAGGUCAUUGUGACCACCACACACUUGACAUCACAGGACUAUGGCAAGAGGGACAUUAGCAUAAAUCCUCUCUGCCUCAGCUCUCCACCAAACCCUGGGACAGCCACAGGUGACCUUCUUCUCUUUCAGAUGCCACAAGGGAAGACUAUAUGUGAGCAGCAGAACGCUUUAAAUCGUAUUUGCCCUACAAGUCUUCAAUUUUCAAAGGAAAAAAAUUGCGAAUGCCUCCUCUGACCCUGGACAUCACUGGAAAAUCUAAGAGUAAGAUGUCAGAAGGCAGCCCGUUCCCACAAGGGAGCCAGAGUUCUCUCCCACCUGGAGCACAGACAGCGCACCACACAAAACUUGCAACCAGCUGACCGUUAAGAAGCAACGUGCUAAUUGCUGCCUGUCAGAUGAAAUGGGUGUCUGCUUGGUUGGCAGGGUUGCCUUGUGGACUCCACUAAAAUGAAGAAGUAUAAUCUCCAUGGUGCAAAACAAAAGCCAGAAAACCUCCUGCCAAGAGACAGACAAGGAAAAAUGGUUUCUGGGCCCUCCUCUUUCGGGACAUUUGCCAGGUGUCAUUGAAUUUCAUCCACCGGGGAAAUAAGGGCUUGAACCCAAAAUGAACUCAAAACAAGGAGUCUCCUUCCAUGUAUUUAUGACUUGAUAGGUGUAGCGUUUUUUCUGAGUAUUAUUGGCUGAAUAAAUUCUGUAGGUAAUUGUGUGCAGAUUAAAAAAAUGUGAAAAAAGAGCUUUAUUAUAAUACUAUUACUCUAAAAAGCCCAGUUUUCCACCUCAGACAGCAUGUAGUGAUUCACCCUAGAGAAAUAAAAAAUUAAAAGACAAGCAUUCAAAAUAAACCAAAUAACAAAUAAGCUAUGUAACUGUCACCUGACAACAUUUGUUUCUUGGUACCGCUGAUUUUGCAAGAGAAAGAAUUGCUUCCUCUGGGACAGAGUGAUUUUUUAAAAAGGUUACUGAAUUCAGGUUGCACACCCUACUUCUAUAAAACCCCACUUGUCAGCUGCAGCCCUGUGUUCGGAGGAGCUGC